ensembl:snRNA U6 U6 spliceosomal RNA
GUACUGAUGUCAACAGCACAUAUACUAAAAUUGGAAUGAUACAGAGAAGAUUAGCAUGGCACCUGCGCAAGGUUGACAUGCAGAUUAGUGAAGUGUUGUGUAUUUUU